rnacentral:tRNA from 1 species
GCCAGGGUGUAGCUCAGUAGGUAAAGUGCUUGACUGGCAGGCAUAAAACCCUGGGUUCAAUCCCCAGCACUGCA